rnacentral:rRNA from 1 species
AUUGAACGCUGGCGGCAUGCUUUACACAUGCAAGUCGAACGGCAGCGCGGGCUUCGGCCUGUCGGCGAGUGGCGAACGGGUGAGUAAUACAUCGGAACGUGCCCAGUAGCGGGGGAUAGCUCGGCGAAAGCCGGAUUAAUACCGCAUACGACCUGAGGGUGAAAGCGGGGGAUCUUCGGACCUCGCGCGAUUUGAGCGGCCGAUGGCAGAUUAGCUAGUUGGUGGGGUAAAGGCCUACCAAGGCGACGAUCUGUAGCUGGUCUGAGAGGAGGACCAGCCACACUGGGACUGAGACACGGCCCAGACUCCUACGGGAGGCAGCAGUGGGGAAUUUUGGACAAUGGGCGAAAGCCUGAUCCAGCAAUGGCGCGUGUGUGAUGAAGGCCUUCGGGUUGUAAAGCACUUUUGGCGGGAACGAAAAGGACUGUGCCAAUACCACGGUUCGAUGACGGUACCUGCAGAAUAAGCACCGGCUAACUACGUG